rnacentral:rRNA from 1 species
AUGAACGCUGGCGGCGUGCCUAAUACAUGCAAGUCGAGCGAACGGACGAGAAGCUUGCUUCUCUGAUGUUAGCGGCGGACGGGUGAGUAACACGUGGAUAACCUACCUAUAAGACUGGGAUAACUUCGGGAAACCGGAGCUAAUACCGGAUAAUAUUUUGAACCGCAUGGUUCAAAAGUGAAAGACGGUCUUGCUGUCACUUAUAGAUGGAUCCGCGCUGCAUUAGCUAGUUGGUAAGGUAACGGCUUACCAAGGCAACGAUGCAUAGCCGACCUGAGAGGGUGAGCGGCCACCCUGGAACGGAGACACGGUCCAGACUCCUACGGGAGGCAGCAGUAGGGAAUCUUCCGCAAUGGGCGAAAGCCUGACGGAGCAACGCCGCGUGAGUGAUGAAGGUCUUCGGAUCGUAAAACUCUGUUAUUAGGGAAGAACAUAUGUGUAAGUAACUGUGCACAUCUUGACGGUACCUAAUCAGAAAGCCACGGCUAACUACG